CCUGACUGCUAUCGGAUUGAUACUAAGCCAUGCAAGUCUUUGUAGUAAUACAAGGCAUACGGCUCAGUAACGCGUAGUCAACCUACCCUAUGGAUGGGGAUAAUCUCGGGAAACUGAGCAUAAUACCCAACAGAUCAUCAAUUCUGGAAUGGUUGAUGAUUCAAAUGAUUUUUCGCCAUAGGAUGGGACUGCGGCCUAUCAGCUUGUUGGUGAGGUAAUGGCCCACCAAGGCAAUUACAGGUACGGGCUCUGAGAGGAGAAGCCCGGAGAUGGGUACUGAGACAAGGACCCAGGCCCUAUGGGGCGCAGCAGGCGAGAAAACUUUGCAAUGUGCGAAAGCACGACAAGGUUAAUCCGAGUGAUUUCUGCUAAAGGAAUCUUUUACCAGUUCUAAAAAUACUGGCGAAUAAGGGGUGGGCAAGUUCUGGUGUCAGCCGCCGCGGUAAAACCAGCACCUCAAGUGGUCAGGAGGAUUAUUGGGCCUAAAGCAUCCGUAGCCGGCUCUGUAAGUUUUCGGUUAAAUCUAUAUGCUCAACGUAUAGGCUGCCGAAAAUACUGCACAGCUAGGGAAUGGGAGAGGUAGACGGUACUCGGUAGGAAGGGGUAAAAUCCUUUGAUCUAUCGAUGACCACCUGUGGCGAAGGCGGUCUACCAGAACAUGUUCGACGGUGAGGGAUGAAAGCUGGGGGAGCAAACCGGAUUAGAUACCCGGGUAGUCCCAGCUGUAAACGAUGCAGACUCGAUAAUGCAUUGGCACAUAGCCAGUGCAGUGUCGCAGGGAAGCCGUUAAGUCUGCCGCCUGGGAAGUACGUACGCAAGUAUGAAACUUAAAGGAAUUGGCGGGGGAGCACCACAAGGGGUGAAGCCAGCGGUUC
rnacentral:rRNA from 1 species